rnacentral:misc_RNA from 1 species
CGCAUCGUUCGGUGCUUUCUGGGGAUCGUCAUGGCUUUUGAUUGUUCACAUUGCCUUUGUGCCUUGUGGGUUGUCACUAGUUUCACGGUUCUUGUGAAUCCCAUCGUAAAGGUGCAUGAGUUGUGCUUGGUUUGUUACGGGUGGUUGGCUCUUUGCAUGCGCAACAACUUCCACCUGGCAUACCUCUUCAGUUGUUUGUUUAGGCUUGUAUAGCCUAGCCAAACUGUUGGUUUCUGUGUUGCCUACCUAAGCUAUGGUAUUGUGUUGGUUGAUCAAAGAUGAUUUCGUCUUGUGUCACUCUUGUGGCAUUGGAUGAACCAUGAAGCGGUCUCUUUGAUCCACAAUGUUAGCGCGUGCGUUGAUGUUGUGGCUUGUUGAGCGUUGCUUGGUAUCAUGGAUAUGGAAAACAAUGUGGGCAUGGGGUCUCAUGGGAUCCUUUUGUUGUCCUCAUUUAGCGUUUGUGYCWMWSUUAACUYGACUUACUGUCUUGCCYGAAYYGGCUWUGCCAWCRGGAGGGUYUGYYARWGUUWACAYGACUUACUGUCUUGCCUGAAUUGGCUYUGCCAWCGGGAGGGUUUGUUAGAGUUAACACGACUUACUGUCUUGCCUGAGCCAUCAGGAGGGUCUGUCAAAGUUAACUYGACWUACUGUCUUGCCCGAACCGGCUUUGCCAACAGGAGGGUUUGUCAAAGAGUGGCGCAUCCCCUUGAGUGACCUGCUUGUCCCGUGUUGGCUUGUACCAGCGGGCGGGUUUUGUCAACGAGGAAUGC